UGCCUGGCAUUGUAUAAGUGCUAAAUCAACGCGUUAUCCUGAUUAUCUCCAUUUGACAGAUAAUGAAAUGGAAGCUGCCUGCUGCUCAUGAAUGCAGAGGGAUAAGGCCAUUUUUAUCCCAGCCUUCCUGCUUCAAAUCUCAUCUUCUUCCUCCCUGGAAUCAAGGGAUGAAGAUUUACUCCACAAUUAUAAAUACCAGCUUCCAGGCAGUGCCAGUGGUAAAGAAUCCACUUGCCAUUGCAGGAGAUGCAAGAGACCCGGGUUCAAUCCCUGGGUUGGGAAGAUCCCCUGGAGAAGGAAAUGAUAACCCACUCCAGUAUUCUUGCCUGGAAAAUCCCAUGGACAGAGGAGCCUGGAAAGCUUCAGUCCAUGGGGUCUCAGAGUUGGACACAACUGAGCAACUGACCACUAUUAAUAUCAGCUUGAACAAAG
rnacentral:lncRNA from 1 species